AUUGAACGCUGGCGGCAGGCUUAACACAUGCAAGUCGAACGGUAACAGGAAGAAGCUUGCUUCUUUGCUGACGAGUGGCGGACGGGUGAGUAAUGUCUGGGAAACUGCCUGAUGGAGGGGGAUAACUACUGGAAACGGUAGCUAAUACCGCAUAACGUCGCAAGACCAAAGAGGGGUACCUUCGGGCCUCUUGCCAUCGGAUGUGCCCAGAUGGGAUUAGCUAGUAGGUGGGGUAACGGCUCACCUAGGCGACGAUCCCUAGCUGGUCUGAGAGGAUGACAGCCCGCAUGGGAACGGAGACAGGGCCCAGACUCCUACGGGAGGCAGCAGUGGGGAAUGUGACGCAGUGGGGGGAAGCCUGACGCAGCGACGGCGAGUGUGAGACAAAGGCGUGGGGUUUGGAAAGAUCUUUGAGGGGGGAGGAAGGGAUUAAGGUUAAUACGUUGCCUCAGUGACGGUACCGGAUAAAGAAGCACCGGCUAACUACGUG
rnacentral:rRNA from 1 species